GGAGGAGUGACUGAGUGGCCGAAAGUGGCGGUCUUGAAAACCGUUGUCCUUCACGGGACCGUGGGUUCGAAUCCUACCUCCUCCGCCA
rnacentral:tRNA from 1 species